GAUGAACGCUGGCGGCGUGCCUAAUACAUGCAAGUCGAGCGAACAGACGAGGAGCUUGCUCCUCUGACGUUAGCGGCGGACGGGUGAGUAACACGUGGAUAACCUACCUAUAAGACUGGGAUAACUUCGGGAAACCGGAGCUAAUACCGGAUAAUAUAUUGAACCGCAUGGUUCAAUAGUGAAAGACGGUUUUGCUGUCACUUAUAGAUGGAUCCGCGCCGCAUUAGCUAGUUGGUAAGGUAACGGCUUACCAAGGCAACGAUGCGUAGCCGACCUGAGAGGGUGGUCGGCCACCCUGGAACUGAGCCACGGUCCAGACUCCUACGGGAGGCAGCAGUAGGGAAUCUUACGCAAUGGGCGAAAGCUUGACGGAGCAACGCCGCGUGAGUGAUGAAGGUCUUCGGAUCGUAAAACUCUGUUAUUAGGGAAGAACAAAUGUGUAAGUAACUAUGCACGUCUUGACGGUACCUAAUCAGAAAGCCACGGCUAACUACGUG
rnacentral:rRNA from 1 species